CUCAUUACGAGCCUGGAAAUAUACAGGCUGAAAUUAUGUUAGGGGCUUCAAAAUAUUCAGGAAGUUGCUUAUGUGGGGAGUAGUUUGACAAAAUGGUGGUGGAAUCCUCAAUUAAAUUAAAAAAGACCUUACAGAACCUUCUUAACUCCAAAUCCAGGAAAAGGAAUAGCUGGUCUUAUUAGUCUGUAUAUCCUUUUCAUGACUACUCCUCUAAUUACUACUCUAAGAAGGCAAGACUAUUGCAAAAGCAAAUGGACCAAGGCUAAGCCUGAAAGGGGAGAAACAAAUCUUCCUGCAAUACAAAUUCCAACACUAGAUAUAAUGCCUCACUAGUUCAGCAGAGUUCCUGCAUUUUCCUGGAGUUAUCCCUAGAUAAAAAGCCUUCCCAUUGUGAGGAUGAAGACACAGAGUCUUGUGGUGAAAGAGGUUCCAUGUUGUUUGUUAAAAUGCAGCUCAACCUAUUCCUGUCCCUCUCAUUGCCAAAGAAUGGCCUGUUGACAGGUGAUGACAAUCAACUUUGAUGAUACCUGGCUAGAGGCAUCAGCUUGUCCUUUGUCUUUGAGAAACAGGUUUACCCACUCCCUAUACUAGUCUGAUAAAUCCAUUUCAGUCAUAAUUUUAGUUUAUGUUCAUAAUUUUACUUUAUAAUGGAUCCUCGCAGACAGAAGAGGAUACAGGAAUACCCUUUCCUGAGCAACAUUCUAAUCAGAGUCCCAUCCAAGGAGGGGCUCGCUCAAGCGACUCAGUCACUGAUCCAAAUGUGGCAACAGCAUAGAUGUAUAGUAAAUUUCUGAAAGAGUCAUAUUCAACAAUCUUCAUUACAGUUGUUCAGCUAUUGCAUAUCCAUAAGGUGCAGAGAGCUUUGUCUUGGGAUUUGAACAUUGUGCUGCUCAAUGCCUUAACGGAGGUGCCCUUUGAACCUAUGAAAUCAGUUUCAUUGUAUUCACUGGCUAUCAAAAGACCUUUUUGAUCGCUAUCACUUUGGCAAGAAGGUUGUCAGAGUAGGGAGCUUUUUCAGUUGAUCCACCCUGCUGCAAGUUUCACAAAGAUAAGGUGAAUUUGAGAAUGGAUGUCUCCUUUAUUGCAAAAGUAGAUUUGAUUUUUCACUGAGCACAAGAGAUCUCAUUGCCUUCUUUUUGUCCGUAUCCGUCUCAUCCAAAGAAGAAGCUAUGGCAUUAGCUGAUUGUAAGAAGAGCUUUAAAGUUUUGUCUGAAAAGAACUGCAUAAGAAAAACAGCCUUACUGGUCUUAUUUCAUCCAAAAAAAAAAAAAAGUACUAAGGCAUCAGAAUCAUCAGUAUCACAGUGGAUAGGCAUAUAGAGCAAAACAAUUCAAACUUCCAAUGGGCACCAGAGCUCACUUAGUACAAGCGCUGGUGACAUCAUGAGAUGAAAAGAGAGGUCUCUUAUGAUGAAAUCUGUAAAGCUACAACAUGGUCAUCCUUGUAUUCAUUUACCAAGUUUUACAAGAUAUAUGCAGUAUUCAGCUGAUGCAGAUGUUGACAGGCAAGUCUUGUAUGCUGCAGUGAUUUCAUAGAGUAGGGGAAUCCUUUCUCUCAGUGACAUUAUUUUGAUCCUUCCCUAGGAAUUUUGUCACUGUUGAGAAAAUCACACACUGAGGAUCUGUGGAGCUAGCCUUGAGAGAGAAUUGGAGAAUUUGUGGUUGCUUACCUGACAAUUUCCCCUUCUUUGAAGGGAUAGGUCCAUGGAUCCAGACCUCCUGAAAAAGGGAGAUCUUUUAAACUUAUGGUUACAGUUCUCUGCAGUAGUAAAAUUUUUCUUGCUGAGUAUUAUUUUUGCAAGGUGCUGAUGCAGAAUGAGAGAUUCAGGUUUUUUGUUUCAGAGUCCAGAGGGGCUAUCUUUGGAAGCGUCUUGAAACUGCAGGGGUCCCUGGAAAGUGGGGGGUAGUCUUUUGUCAAGCAUCCAGUCAACUUUUGGUUCUGUACUUUAUGGCUACUGACAGGUGGUGACCCACACUGAGAAUCUGUGCACCUACCACUUUGAAGAAGGGAAACUGCUCACUUAAACAACCACAAAUUCUCCCAUUUUAUAUUUUAGAGAUUAAAAAUAUUUUUAAAACUUAAUCCCACACCUACUUUUUUUUUCAAUAAAAUUUUUGGAAUAUCUUAACACAAGCAAUACUUACUGGUCCAUUUCUUCUGUGCUAAUUUCACCUUCAGAUUCAGAAGAGGAGGCACCUAUGGAAGGGAAAAACAUUUCACAUGGAAUUAAAAUUUUCAGCAAUUUGUCUAGCUAAAGUUGAGUCUGCCCCAUAGAUGUUUGAAGCAAAGCAAGAAUAACGUCCGGUGUCCUCUUCAAAAGCUUCAACUAUAAUCAAUGAGUGCAGAUCUCCUGACUGGAUAAUGUGAAUAUCUGACCUGAAGAGGAAGGAUGCAUUCCUGUACAAAUAUGAGCACAAUGGAUGGUCACACGAGGAGAUACAAGUUGAAAAAUGACUCAAUGAGACCAAACCCUGUCAUCUCCUGCAGAGAAAUAAAGAUACGGCAGGAAAGAGGUCUUUGGUUCCAUCAUCUGUUAAAAUAUCCAUCUCAUCAAAGUGCUAUUGGAUUUCUAGCAUAUACAAAAAAUACUGAGCCAUAACUCCAUCUUUAUGUCUUCUGGACAGU